GCGGAGGAAAAGAAACUAACAAGGAUUCCCCUAGUAACGGCGAGUGAAGCGGGAACAGCUCAAAUUUUAAAUCUGGCUGCUUCGCAGUCCGAGUUGUAAUUUGAAGGCGUCUGUCGCAUGUGAGACGAUGGCACAAGUCCUCUGGAACGUGGCAUCGUAGAGGGUGAGAAUCCCGUCUCUGGUCGUUGUCUUGCAGGCACACGGCAGGCGAUCCGAAGAGUCGAGUUGUUUGGGAUUGCAGCUCCAAAUGGGUGGUAAACUCCAUCUAAGGCUAAAUAUUGGCGAGAGACCGAUAGCGAACAAGUACCGUGAGGGAAAGAUGAAAAGAACUUUGAAAAGAGAGUAAAACAGUACGUGAAAUUGUUGAAAGGGAAACGCUUGAAGUCAGUCGUGCCGGCGGGGAUUCAGCGAACUUCGCGGAGUGAGCGUAUUUCCUCGCAUGGCAGGUCAGCGUCAGUUUUGCGCGUCGUGAAAGGGCUCGGGUAAGGUGACUCUCUUCGGGGAGUGUUAUAGGCCUGAGCAGAUGCGAUGCGCGGGACUGAGGAUUGCAGCGGACACCCUUCGGGGCGCGGCGACCGAUCCCUGCUCUGUCACCUUCGUCCGAUAGCGUGCUAACGGUCGGGGGAGCGGCGGUUGCACCGGGUUGGCAAGCCGGCGGCUUCGCUAAGGAUGCUGGCGUAAUGGCUUUAAACGACC
rnacentral:rRNA from 2 species